rnacentral:ncRNA from 1 species
CCAGAGGAUCUGAAAAGGCCUCCGGAGCGCGCUCCAGCCAACCAGCCGAGCCGUUCCGUGACUGCAUCGCCCACAAGGCGGACUGACGAGGUUGCGACUGGAACGAGUCGUCCUGAGGGACGGGGAAGCGAUUUUCGUACAGCCUGAUGACAGUCACGACAGCGAGCGAGUGCCCAACGGUAUCCACGAACCGAUAAGCGCUCCGGCGAAUCUUCGC